rnacentral:sRNA from 1 species
AAUCAAGAAUGUACGAAUAUGACAUAUUUUUGGCAAGAAUGUAAUGAAAGAUGUAUAAAUAAAUAACAAAACUAGUAUUAGUCAAUCUUUCUGGAUAUCAUUAUCAGGAAAAAAACGAGAGUGACCGAACGAGAAGGAGAAACAUUCAUUGCCUUGGUGAUCUAUGUACGUGCCGAUGAACAACCAUCAUAAAUUGCUGUGGACAAGUCACCCAAUGUACUGGGCACCAACGGAAUCUCUACACAAUUGCUAAAGAAUCCGAAUGGUCUUAAUGUCGAGUGCCUGCCCAUCUUCCUAAACCUAUUUCUGAGCAUUCUUACAGUUUCCAAUGUCUGAACAAAUAAGCAGAGUGAUCGCGCAUUUAAAGUAUGCAAAGAUCGAACAAGGGAUAACAAGACAAGAAGUAGACAAGACUCUUGUGGUCCUAAUCCUCCCGAUCCUUGUUGAACAAUUUCCAUUUGGCGCGCUUCCAUAUAGAUUUCGUAAAUUGCAUAGGAAGACGACUGCUUUGCACGAUGUUAUUGUUUUUGUUUUUAUUUCGUCAACACUGUUUUGAGUUCGGCCGGGCCGAAUCAUAUAU